rnacentral:lncRNA from 1 species
GAGAAUUUCUGUUCCAGGUGUAAGGUGUCUCUAAAAUGCCAGCGGAGAUUCACUGAUGCGGGAAGGUAGCAGAUGUCUGGCUCUCUAAAUGUGCAAAAUUAGAAGCCAGGUUCAAGGUGACCACUGGGAAAUUCCUAAUCCUCUGAAGAAUCCAUUUUCUUUUGUGAGAAGCAGCCGCCAUCUUCUUAAGGUUUGCAAUGUAAGAAUGCAUCAGUGGUGUUUGCCCAGAAAAUGACUGGGCCAAUUGGAUUCUCACUGGAAAUCUAGUUCAGUGAGCUGAUAUGAAACUGCAAAAGUAUUUCUGCGGAAAAAUUGGAAACAAAGAUUCUUCUGAUACAGCAAAAAAUGUGAUUAUGAUAUUCUGAAUAUGCAACUUGGAAAUUUGCAAAUCAAAUAUGAGGGGGGAGCAGGAGCGACGUCCUAUUCUGUCUCAGAUUGUGAAGGAAAUCUGACUCAGCAGCACAAUGGAAAUUACAAAUUUAUCCAACAUUCCUGGCUACUAAGAUGUAAUUGUGCAUCUAAAGCUAACGGGAUCUCCUUAAGGCACCAAAUGACCAAUACUGUCUUCAAGACAUUUUUAUUUCCAAGACAAAAUAUUGAUAUUCUGUAAUAAUGUAAGUACAAAAAUAUUGCUUAAUAUACCCUAGUAGAACUUGUUUGUGUUAUGGUAGUCAUCUAGUAUGCUAUUUGUUGUGAUUACUAACCCUUAACAAGAACAGUGUGUGCUGUUACCUAUUUUGUUAGUUAUUUUUCCAGCUGCUGCUUUUCAUUUAAAAUCUCUCUUCAAUCAUCUGCAACAUCGCUGCUUUUUAUAAAGUAACAAAACACUAUGCACUAUUUUUUUGAUUAAAUUUAGUUGUGUUACAUGUAUAGCUGACAGGCUAAUAUCUCAUCCUAUGAUAUUAAAUAAACAUCUUUUCCUCCCAUCA